WUAAGCAUAUCACUAAGCGGAGGAGAAGAAAACAACCGUGAUGCCCCUAGUAAUGGCGAAUGAAGCGGGCAGAGCUCACGCCGCCAAUCUGGAGGCCCUCGCGGCCCCCCGAAUUGUAGUCUAGAAAGGCGCCAUCGGCCGCGUCCGUCGCUAAAAUCCCUUGGAACAGGGUAUCGGAGAAGGUGAGAAUCCUGUGACGUGGCGGAUCGCGGCCGCACGAUGCGCUCUUGCAGAGUCGGGUUGCUUGGGAUUGCAGCUUGAAUUGGGAGGUAAAUUCCUUCUAAAGCUAAAUACUGCAGCGAGACCGAUAGCGAACAAGUACCGUGAGGGAAAGAUGCAAAGAACUUUGAAAAGAGAGUUAAAGAGUGCUUGAAACCGACAAGGGGAAACCCGGUUGUGCCCGGUGUCGUGCCGUCGACUCAGCCGCCUUUUUGGGCGGUGCAUUUCUACGGCACGGGUCAGGCGCCUCUCUGCGGGUGGCACACGGUCUUGGUAGGUCUUCGGAGAGCCAAGUUUUCGCCACGCGCGGGGCGCCGCCUGACGUAACGGGCACCACCGACCCGUCUUGAA
rnacentral:rRNA from 1 species